rnacentral:rRNA from 1 species
GCCGAUGGCGAGGGGUAGUACACGUAAGCAACCUACCCUAAAGACGAGGGAUAACCAUUGGGAAACAGCCCCCUUAAAGUGGAUAGGAAGAUAAAAGGCAUCUUGUAUCUUUCAAUAGACCUAGGUAAUAGGUAUGCUUUAGGAGGGGCUUGCGCCAUAUUAGUUAGUUGGUAGGGUAAUGGCCUACCAAGACGAUGAUGUGUAGCUGGACUGAGAGGUUGAACAGCCACAUUGGGACUGAGACACGGCCCAAACUCCUACGGGAGGGCAGCAGUAGGGAAUUUUCGGCAAUGGAGGAAACUCUGACCGAGCAACGCCGCGUGAAUGACGAAGUACUUCGGUAUGUAAAGUUCUUUUAUCGAGAGAAAGCAAAUGCGACCAUUUGUUGCCGGUACUUGAUGAAUAAGCCCCGGCUAAUUAUGUGCCAGCAGCCGCGGUAAGACAUAAGGGGCAAGUGUUAUCGAAUUAUUGGGCGUAAAGGGUGCGUAGGCGGUCUAGUAAGUCAGUGGUGUAAUGGCAACGCUUAACGUUGUCCGGCUAUUGAAACUGCUAAACUUGAGUUAGAUAGAGGCGAGUGGAAUUCCAUGUGUAGCGGUAAAAUGCGUAAAUAUAUGGAGGAACACCAGAGGCGUAGGCGGCUCGCUGGGUCUUAACUGACGCUGAGGCACGAAAGCGUGGGGAGCAAACAGGAUUAGAUACCCUGGUAGUCCACGCCGUAAACGAUGAGUACUAAGUGUCGGGUUAAACCGGUACUGAAGUUAACACAUUAAGUACUCCGCCUGAGUAGUACGUACGCAAGUAUGAAACUUAAAGGAAUUGACGGGACUCCGCACAAGCGGUGGAUCAUGUUGUUUAAUUCGAAGAUACCCGAAAAACCUUACCAGGUCUUGACAUGUUUUUGCAAAAUGAUAGUAAUAUCGUGGAGGUUACCAGAAACACAGGUGGUGCAUGGUUGUCGUCAGCUCGUGUCGUGAGAUGUUAGGUUAAGUCCUAAAACGAGCGAAACCCUUAUCGUUAGUUGCCAGCACGUUAUGGUGGGGACUUUAACGAGACUGCCAAUGAUAAAUUGGAGGAAGGUGAGGAUCACGUCAAAUCAGCAUGCCCCUUAUGACCUGGGCUACAAACGUGAUACAAUGGCUGUUACAAAGGGUAGCUGAAACGCAAGUUCUUGGCCAAUCCCCAAAAACAGUCCCAGUCCGGAUUGAAGUCUGCAACUCGACUUCAUGAAGUUGGAAUCGCUAGUAAUCGCGAAUCAGCAUGUCGCGGUGAAUACGUUCUCGGGGUUUGUACACACCGCCCGUCAAACCACGAAAGUUGGCAAUACCCCAAAACGGUAGCCUAACUCGUUUCGAGAGGGCGUUG